rnacentral:rRNA from 1 species
UGGGGAAUUUUGGACAAUGGGCGAAAGCCUGAUCCAGCAAUGCCGCGUGUGUGAAGAAGGCCUUCGGGUUGUAAAGCACUUUUGUCCGGAAAGAAAUCCUUGGCUCUAAUACAGUCGGGGGAUGACGGUACCGGAAGAAUAAGCACCGGCUAACUACGUGCCAGCAGCCGCGGUAAUACGUAGGGUGCAAGCGUUAAUCGGAAUUACUGGGCGUAAAGCGUGCGCAGGCGGUUUGCUAAGACCGAUGUGAAAUCCCCGGGCUCAACCUGGGAACUGCAUUGGUGACUGGCAGGCUAGAGUAUGGCAGAGGGGGGUAGAAUUCCACGUGUAGCAGUGAAAUGCGUAGAGAUGUGGAGGAAUACCGAUGGCGAAGGCAGCCCCCUGGGCCAAUACUGACGCUCAUGCACGAAAGCGUGGGGAGCAAACAGGAUUAGAUACCCUGGUAGUCCACGCCCUAAACGAUGUCAACUAGUUGUUGGGGAUUCAUUUCCUUAGUAACGUAGCUAACGCGU